ACAAACGGUGCUGCGGCUAUGUGGGUUCAGACUUCAGACGUUCGGUAAUGGGUUUUCAAUUUUUUUUUUCUAUGUGUCAAAACGACGUUUUUUCAAACCAACAAUAAAAAACCGGUGCCAAUAAAAACUCGACCGGCUUGUCCGGUUCAUCAAUUAACCACCAAUUCAUCGAAUUUUUUAUUGGUUUUUUAUAGGACGGUUCUGAGUCUCAACUGGACCGAUUAGAUAACCGGUUUUUGGUUAAAUUGACCGGUCUGAUCCGGUUUCCAGAACCUUGGCUAGAAACAAUGAAGCAUAGAAUAGAGCUAGCGAUGGAGGCAGAAACAGAGCUUGUGACAGAAGAACAGAGAUGACAUCGGUGACAGUGGAAGAGAGCUUCGCGAUGGAGAUAGGAGGCGAGCCCAGCGACUAUGCUUCCACUGAGUCUGAGACGUUAACUGCACGAACAGGAGUGAGGGACCGAGUGAGCUUUGAAGUCCUAACUUGCGAUGUCGUCAGGACCAGUUCGGUGGCUGAAUGAAAGAGAUGGACUGAUCUCACCGGCAUUGAGAGGAACAACCAACUCGAGGAUGAUGAGAGAGACUGGGUUGGUAAGGGUUGGGGAAGUUACUGAUUAGUAGAUCAUAAUGUUAAACGGCUGUGUUUUGGCUUUUUUUGGAAAAAAUAAGAAAAUCAGCCGAGUUUUUGUUCGGUCCGACCGAUCAAUUAUUGGCCAAUUCAUCGGUUUAACUUUGAUUUUCAUUUUUUGCGGUUUUAAAAUAUAACCGAAUUGUAAUUCUUAUUAGUUCGCAGUUCCCCCGGUUCGACCGAAAGGUUCGAACCGGUUUUCAUAACAUUGGGUUAAACUAGUUGAUGGAAUCAUCUAUGGCUUCUUCUCCUUCACCUUCUCCUUCUCUUGAAGAUUUCAGCACCACUUAAACCUCCGCAUCUAUCGAUUCUCAAGUACGUUCUUUUCCUUUCUCACUAGAUUUUUCUUUUAAAUUACUCGAUUUUAUUCACUUUUUUUUUUGCUUGCGCUACUAAAUUUCGUUGAGGACUGGGUUUCUUGAUACAGUUACUGCAAUUGGAAUAAAAAAAGAUGUAACUAAUUGCAACACUGUUGUUUGCUAGCUUUUUUUUCUGCUAUUCGAAUUUGGUACCAUUUUUUUUGCUUUCCAUGGCUUUGGGCCAUUCAAUCUGUUGCAAGCUGCAAACAAAUCCACAUUUCUAUUUUACCGGGUAUAAUGCCACUAUUAUUCUCUUAAAGUUUUGAUUUUGUUUUGUUUUUCUUGUUUAUGUUUCCACUUGAACUGUUUCUUCAGUAUAAUCAUAGUUUUACUGAUUUCUUUUUUUUUUUCAUCUUAUUUACUGCUUUUGAAUUUUGUCAAGAUAAUGAUGAUCUACUUUUGAUUAUGAAAUGAUAUGAAUAUAAAUUCAAAAUGUAAACUGAAACAGCUCACUUGACUUGGCUAGCCAUCCCUUAUUUUAGGAGCUUCUUUUUGUUUUGGAUUCUGAAAAUUGAUGAUUCAUGAUUGUGUUUCUUUUCUUUUUGUUCGCCGGCUUUGAUUCGUGCGGCCCCUGUUGCACGAGCUGAUUUUUGUGGAAAGACAAGGGAAUUGAUUGCUCUUAUAUGUUUGGAGGAAAUUUUCGAUUCUGCUCAUAGAGUUGGUUGUGAUGAAGCUACAUCAGCUAGCCUGGAUUCAAGAGUUCGGUUUGAUUUUUCUAGCAGUUGUGAAGAUGUCCUCCAAAAAAUACUGGAUGAGAUACCAUUACCCAAUUUAGAAAUGGAUGGAGCUAAGCUUUUGAAAUGGAAUGUGAUGAAGUAAAUGCAAAGAAGAGUAGAUGUAAUUCACUUUUAAAUGUUGAUUCCGACAAAGAGAAGUCAGUCCCUCCCCAUGGAAAACAGGUAAUAGAAAAUCAUACCGACAAGGAUGUCCAGGAAAAUCUGGGAGUAGUGUCUGAAGAGGGUAGUCAUGAUCAGCACCUUGCUUCCAUUCAGUGUAAAUCCAGUAACCAGAAUGAAGUCUCUCAUGGUGAGCCACAAGCUUCAAUCAGUAUGAAGCAUACAUCUGACAUUGAAUACUGUCAGCAACAAAAAGAUGAACCAGUUAAAACAAAAGUUCUGCUCACAAACAGAGUUCUUCCUGAAAACGGAGACAAUACUGCACAUAAGGCACUCAAUGUAAUUCAUGAAUUGCAAUCUAAAAGAAAAACAGGUGCUCAAGGGAAGGAACCUAAUGCUGCAGAUGAUAAAGCUGGUGGGGCAGUGAUAUUAAGUGAUGGUGACGAAUAUCAGCAUGAAAAAAUUGGUCUUGCUGCAGAAAAGCACGAAUUAUUGAGCUCUCGCUGCACUUCUGGACGUAAUAUCUCAACAAGCACUAGGCUGACAGAAAAUAAUGUUUGUAUGAAGUGUAAAGAAGGCGGUAAAUUGCUUGUUUGUAGAACAACUACUUGUCCAAUUAUGGUUCAUGAAAGCUGCCUGACUAGUCAGAUUGAUGCAGAAGGAAACUUUUUGUGCCCAUUUUGUGUAUGUUAUCAGGCUUUUUCAAGAUGUGUUGAAGCAAAGAAAAAGGCUUCCUUGGCAAGAAAAGAACUUGCAUCUUUUAUAAGGAUAUAAGGUUCAGUAGACAAAUUACGGAGCUCAUCUAUGCGAGCAUCACAUCAAUAGUUUUAAAAUUGGAAGAAAUCAGCAACAAGCCUAUGCAUCGUGUGCAGAUCAUCAUGCAGUUGAAAGAAAGGCUUAAAUAAAUGACAAGCUAAAAAUGUUCCUCUAGUAGAAAAGUGAAUAUUAUGGGCAACAAGAAGAACAAUCACUUGUCUUUGGAGGGAUUGCUUAAGUUUGGUUCUGUGACCCAAUAAUUCCUUGGAAGAAACCUUCUACAUUCUGUUCUAAUGUAUUUGAGAAUGAUCAUUAAGAAAUCAGAAACACACACUACAGAAGCUGAAGGAUAAAGGGGAAAGCCUGCAUAGAACUCGCCCAAAAUUGAAAUGACCAGGCUGCUUUUAUUUUUUGAUGGAAUUGGCUUAAUCUUUUUAAUAUCAGUAUAGUUGUUCAUCUUUGUAAGUAUUUCUUUCAUUUUUUGUAGCACUCUUCCAGUAGUUCAAAGUUAAAUACUAUAUAUAUUUAUUGUAAGGUCCAAGCCUAAGCACUAUUUUCAGUAUUUUGAUAAUGUCCUUUUUUGUUUUUGAGUUUUAGAUCCAACUGAAAUCAAUAUAUCCU